rnacentral:rRNA from 1 species
GACGAACGCUGGCGGCGUGCUUAACACAUGCAAGUCGUACGGUAAGGCCCUUUCGGGGGUACACGAGUGGCGAACGGGUGAGUAACACGUGAGUAACCUGCCCACAACUUUGGGAUAACGCUAGGAAACUGGUGCUAAUACUGGAUAUGUGCUCCUGCUGCAUGGUGGGGGUUGGAAAACUCCGGCGGUUGUGGAUGGACUCGCGGCCUAUCAGCUUGUUGGUGGGGUAGUGGCCUACCAAGGCGGCGACGGGUAGCCGGCCUGAGAGGGUGACCGGCCACAUUGGGACUGAGAUACGGCCCAGACUCCUACGGGAGGCAGCAGGGGGGAAUAUUGCACAAUGGGCGCAAGCCUGAUGCAGCAACGCCGCGUGCGGGAUGACGGCCUUCGGGUUGUAAACCGCUUUCAGCAGGGACGAAGCUUUUUGUGACGGUACCUGCAGAAGAAGCACCGGCUAACUACGUG